rnacentral:rRNA from 1 species
GUUAAGCGACUAAGCGUACACGGUGGAUGCCCUGGCAGUCAGAGGCGAUGAAGGACGUGCUAAUCUGCGAUAAGCGUCGGUAAGGUGAUAUGAACCGUUAUAACCGGCGAUUUCCGAAUGGGGAAACCCAGUGUGAUUCGUCACACUAUCAUUAACUGAAUCCAUAGGUUAAUGAGGCGAACCGGGGGAACUGAAACAUCUAAGUACCCCGAGGAAAAGAAAUCAACCGAGAUUCCCCCAGUAGCGGCGAGCGAACGGGGAGGAGCCCAGAGCCUGAAUCAGUGUGUGUGUUAGUGGAAGCGUCUGGAAAGGCGCGCGAUACAGGGUGACAGCCCCGUACACAAAAAUGCACAUACUGUGAGCUCGAUGAGUAGGGCGGGACACGUGGUAUCCUGUCUGAAUAUGGGGGGACCAUCCUCCAAGGCUAAAUACUCCUGACUGACCGAUAGUGAACCAGUACCGUGA